AAUUCUCAACCUUAUUGGCUUUUGCUAAUAAUGGAUUGGAUGUGGGGGACUCUUUUGCUGGCUUCUUAGCAGAGGUCAGCUCCCCUUAAAUGCAUUAGCUGGUGCCCCGCGUGGACCAUCUAUUGGUGUGAUAAUUAUCUACGCCGUGGAUGUCUGCAAUCAUAUGGGUUUUGCACUGCUUCUAACCGUCUGUUCAUUCGGACAAUACAUGACA
rnacentral:misc_RNA from 1 species